rnacentral:rRNA from 1 species
GACGAACGCUGGCGGCGUGCUUAACACAUGCAAGUCGAACGAAGAACGAUGGAAGCUUGCUUCUAUCAAUCUUAGUGGCGAACGAGGUGAGUAACGCGUAAUCAACCUGCCCUUCACAGGGGGACAACAGGUGGAAACGACUGCUAAUACCGCAUACUAUCUGACCUCGGCAUCGAGGAUAGAUGAAAGGUGGCCUCUAUUUAUAAGCUAUCACUGAAGGAGGGGAUUGCGUCUGAUUACCUAGUUGGAGGGGUAACGGCCCACCAAGGCAAUAAUCAUUACCCAGUCUGAAAGGAUGAACGGCCACAUUGGGACUGAAACACGGCCCAAACUCCUACGGGAGGCAGCAGUGGGGAAUCUUCCGCAAUGGACAAAAGUCUGACGGACCAACGCCGCGUGACUGAUGACGGCCUUCGGGUUGAAAAGCUCUGUUAAUCGGAACAAAGGGCCUUCUUGCGAAUAGUUAGAACGAUUGACGGUACCGGAAUAGAAAGCCACGGCCAACUACGUGCCAGCAGCCGCGGUAAUACGUAUGUGGCAAGCGUUGUCCGGAAUUAUUGGGCAUAAAGCGCGCGCAGGCGGAUUGGUCACUCUGUCUUAAAAGUUCGGGGCUUAACCCCAUGAUGGGAUGGAAACUGCCAAUCUAGAGUAUCGGAGAGGAAAGUGAAAUUCCUAGUGUAGCGGAGAAAUGCGUAGAUAUUAGAAAGAACACCAGUGGCAAAGGCAACUUUCUGGACAAAAACUGACUCUAACGCGCGAAAGCCAGGGGACCGAACGGAAUUAAAUACCCCGGGUACCCCUGGGCCAUAAACUAUGGGCACAUAGUGUAAGAGGUAUCGAACCCCUUCUGUGCCGGAGUUAACGCAAUAAGUACUCCGCCGGGGGAGUACGACCGCAAGGUUGAAACUCAAAGGAAUUGACGGGGGCCCGCACAAGCGGUGGAGCAUGUGGUUUAAUUCGACGCAACGCGAAGAACCUUACCAGGUCUUGACAUCGACGGACAGAACUCGAGAUAGUUCCUUUUCUUUGGAAGCCAGAAAACACGUGGUGCGCGGUGGUCUUCACCUCGCGUCGUGAGAGGUUGGGGUAAGUCUCGCAACGAGAGCGCCCCCUAUCUCAUGUUGCCAGCACUUUCGGUGGGACCUCAUGGGAGGCUGCCGCACACCAAGCGGAGGAAGGCGGGGAAGACGUCAAAUCAUCAAGCCCCUUAUGACGUGGGGUACCCCCGUAGUACAAAGGGAGUUAAUAGACGGCAGCAAUGCCGCGAGGUGGAGCCAACCCGAGAAACACUCUCUCAGUUCGGAUCGCAGGCUGCAACUCGCCUACGUGAAGUCGGAAUCGCUAGUAAUCGCAGGUCAGCAUACUGCGGUGAAUACGUUCCCGGGCCU